rnacentral:rRNA from 1 species
GACGAACGCUGGCGGCGUGCUUAACACAUGCAAGUCGAACGAUGAAACCUAGCUUGCUAGGUCGAUUAGUGGCGAACGGGUGAGUAACACGUGACUAACCUGCCCCUUUCUCUGGGAUAACGCUUCGAAAGGAGUGCUAAUACCGGAUACUCACACCGAGGCACAUGCCUUGGUGUGGAAAGUUUUUCGGAAAGGGAUGGAGUCGCGGCCUAUCAGCUUGUUGGUGAGGUAACGGCUCACCGAGGCGACGACGGGUAGCCGGCCUGAGAGGGCGACCGGCCACACUGGGACUGAGACACGGCCCAGACUCCUACGGGAGGCAGCAGUGGGGAAUAUUGCACAAUGGGCGCAAGCCUGAUGCAGCGACGCCGCGUGAGGGAUGAAGGCCUUCGGAUUGUAAACCUCUUUCAGUAGGGACGAAGCGAAAGUGACGGUACCUAAAGAAGAAGCACCGGCUAACUACGUGCCAGCCGCCGCAGUAA